GAUGAACGCUGGCGGUAUGCUUUACACAUGCAAGUCGUACGAGAGUUUUUAACUCAAGUGGCGGACGGGUGAGUAACACGUAAGAAUUUACCUUUAGGAGGGGGACAACAACUGGAAACGGUUGCUAAUACCCCAUAUGCUUUCGAGUGAAACGGUUUUUCCGCCUAAAGAGAAGCUUGCGGCUGAUUAGCUUGUUGGUGAGGUAAGAGCUCACCAAGGCGACGAUCAGUAUCUGGUUUGAGAGGACGAUCAGACACACUGGAACUGAGACACGGUCCAGACUCCUACGGGAGGCAGCAGUGGGGAAUUUUCCGCAAUGGGCGAAAGCCUGACGGAGCAAUACCGCGUGAGGGAUGACGGCCUAUGGGUUGUAAACCUCUUUUUUCAGGGAGGAAUCAAUGACGUGUACCUGAGGAAUAAGCAUCGGCUAACUCCGUGCCAGCAGCCGCGGUAAGACGGAGGAUGCAAGUGUUAUCCGGAAUCACUGGGCGUAAAGCGUCUGUAGGUGGUCCAAUAAGUCAACUGUUAAAUCUUGAGGCUCAACCUCAAAAUCGCAGUCGAAACUAU
rnacentral:rRNA from 1 species